rnacentral:lncRNA from 1 species
AAGAUCAAGGGAAUUAGGGAGAGGAGCUUCAUGCUUCGGGUCGAGGAAGGAAAGACAUAGAAUUUGGAUUUUUCUUCUUCGUAGAGUUUUGGGACGACCGAGGCAAUCGCUGCUGAAGUCAGUGUUGUAAUGGUGAAUCGGGAUUUUUAAAUGAAGUGGGUUUGAAUACUCUUGACUGUUUUGUAAAAUCGAGUUAUGUCUGUGAUUGAAGGAUUAAAGGGGUGUCUAUAGGAUUGAGUAUGCGGAGUGAAUGAAAUUUAUUGGGUUAAUCUAACAGAACAGUCAGUGGAUACAAGAUCGUAAGUACAAAGCGGUAUUGAAGAUUAACAGUUUGGGUUGUUCG